UUAGUACUCCCUCCGUCCGGAAAUACUUGUCAUUGAAGUGGAUGUAUCUAGAUGUAUUUUUGUUCUAGAUACAUUCAUUUUCAUCCAUUUUGAUGACAAGUAUUUCCGGACGGAGGGAGUACUUA
rfam:Triticum aestivum genome assembly, contig: Triticum_aestivum_CS42_TGACv1_scaffold_061271_1DL